AUUAUUUCGCACUAGUCAACAUCGAGCUUUGUUUUGUAAAACCGUGUGCUGGUUUUUUACGGUUUAGUGCUGUUUUUUUUGGCCACUUUGAAAAAAAUGGACUUCGACAUGGAGCCAUCAACAUCAGGAAUGACCACGUGAAAGAAUGUAGUAUAUAGAGAACAGUGAUGAUUCGCAUCUUGAUCCAGAUUUUGUCCCAUCUGACGAAAGUGUGGAAGGAAUGAGACGUUUUAUGUCUAACGUUAUACAGGAAAAAUGACACACCUUUGCAAAGCAACUCUGAAGCACCCGAAGAAACCAAUCAGCAAAAUUCCGCUAUUUCUGAUGAAAAUAAAUCUACCAGAAAACGAAAACGAAAACCUGAGAUGUGGAAAAUGAAUAUUAAUAAAGUUUUGUGCCAAAGAGGAAAGGAACAUAGAGAUGUAAAAAGUAACAUCCGCAUGGGAAAAAAUUUAAAAACUUUAAAAAAUUGUGAGAGCAAUUGCAAAUUUCUGUGUGGCAAGAAGCUAAGUUCACCUGAACGAGAAAUCAUAUUUCAAAAAUUUUGGGAAUUAUCCAAUGACGCUAAAUGGCACUUUUACGCAAAAAAUACCGAAACAAUAAAAAAAAUACGAAAGCAAACUUUACGAGGAGUAUCACGUAGAAGUUAUUUAUUUAAAUAUUAUUUUCACGUAGCAGAUGAAAAAAUUCGCGUAUGCAAGACAUUUUUUUGACGACACUGGACAUAAGUCAACAAAGAAUCAACUAUUUUCGUGAAAAAAAAAGAAAACCUUAGAGGAAUUCCUUUACCAUCUCGUCAAGGUUGUCAUCCCAAGAAAACUAUCAGUAAUACAAGCAAAUACUACGUUCGACUUCACAUUAGUCAACUUCCAAGAGUAGAUUCUCAUUAUUGUCGAGCUGACACAAAAAAGGAAUAUUUAAAAGGAAACCUAAGUAUUAAUAAGUUAUAUUCUUUGUACACUGAAUUUUGCAAUGAAAAGCAAAUUGAACCUGUUACAAAGGUUGUUUACAGAAAUAUUUUCAACUAUGAAUACAACAUUGAUUUUUUAAAGCCAAAAAAGGAUCGUUGUGAUGUGUGCGUGGAGUACCGCAUGAAACAAAAAUAUGGUAUGACUGAUGAAGAAAAACAAAGAUUUGAAAAUCAUGUACAAGGAAAAACCUCAGCGAAAAUUGAACGCGAUUUGGAUAGAUCCAGCCAAGAUCAAACCACUGCUAUCUUAUGUUUUGACCUAGAGAACGUUUUUGCUCUACCGCGUUCUAAUAUAUCCAGUUUUUUCUAUAGCAGAAAACUCAACACCUUACCCCAAUACAACCUUACUGCACACUGUAAUUUACGCAAACAAGCGUACUGUUGUAUUUGGAGCAAAGGAACGCAUGGGAGGAA